GUGAGGGAGCCCCAUACAUUAGGUUUGCUACCCAUGCGUAUAAAUUCACAAAAAGUAAAACGUGAAUAACGGAAGGUAGCAGGCUCAGGUGCUAACAUUAUCACUAGAGAAUGCCUACCCCAUUUUGGCUGAAAAAGGGGCAAAUCUGCCGCAAAUUGACAGCUUGCCUUUCACACACAGAUGAUUCACUGCUUCCCCUGGCUGUGCCCCGCUCCAACAUCCCUCCAUGCUGACCGUGAAGAAGAUAGAGAGAUGGAGAAC